rnacentral:rRNA from 1 species
UACGAAGGGGGCUAGCGUUGCUCGGAAUCACUGGGCGUAAAGGGUGCGUAGGCGGGUCUUUAAGUCAGGGGUGAAAUCCUGGAGCUCAACUCCAGAACUGCCUUUGAUACUGAAGAUCUUGAGUCGGGAGAGGUGAGUGGAACUGCGAGUGUAGAGGUGAAAUUCGUAGAUAUUCGCAAGAACACCAGUGGCGAAGGCGGCUCACUGGCCCGAUACUGACGCUGAGGCACGAAAGCGUGGGGAGCAAACAGG